UCCCGUUUUCUUUUUCCCUCCCGCGAGCCCGAGCCAUCCCCGACGCCUUCCCCUCGGACCCGACGGCUGUGCCCUAACCGCUCGGCGCCGGUUGUUUCCUCCCUUCCACUCCUUCUUCUUCUCCACUUCGCCUCCCAGUGCCGAGUUCUUUCUCCUCUUGGCAGCGUCGCCGGCCACCUCCUCUGUACCGCCCACCAGAUCUGACCCAGCGUCGUUGUCGCCUUUGCCCUAGCGUCGCCAAUCGAGCCUUCUCCGCCGCUGGGAUCAAGACGCGCCGCUCGACCUUGUGAGCCGACGCCGACUGUCGGCCCUCCUUCUGAUUUCCGCGACACUGAGCCCUAGUUUUUGAAGCCGUCGUCGCCACUGGAUCGCCGCCGUGCCCUAGCAAGUAGCCGGCGUUGCACAGAGUAGAGCCACCCCUCACUGCUCCGCCUCUUCUCUGUUCUUGAGCAAUCCUUCAUUGUGGUAGAAUUAGGUCACGGUUAAGAAAAACUUGGGAUUUCCAGCAGCAAUCAUUUUGUGCUGGCAGCAACAGUCCUGGUGUGGAUCAACAAGCACAGCUACGAGAUAGGACUUGCUGUGGGGUUUUCUUGGUUCAACAAUUUAAUCCAGUAGUUGUUUACAUUAGAUCCAGCAGCAACUACAGUUGUGAAUUGAGAUAAGAGGACUUUGACGCGAGACGAGUAUCUCGGAGUCAGAUUUGGAUCAUUUUAUCGGAGGCG